GACGAACGCUGGCGGCGUGCCUAAUACAUGCAAGUAGAACGCACAGUUUAUACCGUAGCUUGCUACACCAUAGACUGUGAGUUGCGAACGGGUGAGUAACGCGUAGGUAACCUGCCUGGUAGCGGGGGAUAACUAUUGGAAACGAUAGCUAAUACCGCAUAAUAUUGAUUAUUGCAUGAUAAUUGAGUGAAAGAUGCUAUUGCAUCACUACCAGAUGGACCUGCGUUGUAUUAGCUAGUAGGUGAGGUAACGGCUCACCUAGGCGACGAUACAUAGCCGACCUGAGAGGGUGAUCGGCCACACUGGGACUGAGACACGGCCCAGACUCCUACGGGAGGCAGCAGCAGGGAAUCUUCGGCAAUGGACGAAAGUCUGAGCGAGCAACGCCGCGUGAGUGAAGAAGGUUUUCGGAUCGUAAAGCUCUGUUGUAAGAGAAGAACGGGUGUGAGAGUGGAAAGUUCACACUGUGACGGUAUCUUACCAGAAAGGGACGGCUAACUACGUG
rnacentral:rRNA from 1 species